AGCCAUCAGCUACAAGAAGUUGGGACUAAAAUGGCAUUUGAUUUGUUAACAGGAUUCAGCUGACAAGACACAUCUUGAGGGUCAUGGGACCUCUUCAAUAUUAGAAAACAAUGCAAAUAGAAAAAAACACUAUCUGCUUUAAAAGUUGUUUCUGAGCAAGAAAUCCUGAAUUUGUUUUGUCCAGAUACACUUUGUGUCAGUCUCCACAGGUUCCCGGGGAAGAUACAGUGCCACCCCUCACAGUAUCUUUAGCAGAGUUUGAAAGAGUAAAGAACCUGAGGUGUUGAACAAGAUGACUUCUAAUUUAGAAUGGGAAUAUAUAUGGCUGGCUCCUCCUGGAUGAAGCUGAAGUGGAUGUGGAAUGCCUUGACUGCCUGUGUGAGGCGACCUUACACAGCAGAAGUGAUCCUAUGGCAACAUUUUAUGUCCCACCUGAGACACUGACAAUCCUGGGGACUUGGAACUGCAUAAAUUCAUGACAGCUUGGGACAAGCAGGCGUUUGGGAUAUCUGAAUAUUCUGGGUCUUGUGGAGGAUUAUAACCCUUCUUGUGUGAGUCUGAGGUAGAGCUCUGCUUUGGCUCUUAGCUUGGGAACAGCUACAGUCCUUCUGGGGGAAAUGUGUUAGCAGAUUGUUGUCUGACCAUAGACUAAAAGUUGAAUAACUGGGUCCUGUCCUUCUGCUCUAGUGGGCUGAACUCCCAUUUUCUUAGUUCAUCCCUUCAGCUUACCUUCAGUUAUGGAUGACUAACAUCACUGUGGAAGAGCUGCAACAUCAGCUCUCUAGGGCUGGGGAUAACACUGAAGAACCUUAAGGCUGGAUAAACCCAGCUUUCAUCACUGCCUCUGCUAAAGAGAACUGUUUGUACUUAACAGUCACUUAGAAAGGAAAAUUAUAGCAAAAAAAUACUGCAUGUAUAUUCAGUAAAUUGAAUUACUUACAUUUGAGAGGAAAACCUAAAUAACAAGGCAAGCAGAAAGCUUUUUAAC